GUGGGCUAUGGGGAUAUGAGGCCUGUCACUGUGGGGGGCAAGAUUGUGGGGUCCUUGUGUGCUAUUGCUGGCGUGCUCACCAUUGCCCUGCCUGUGCCGGUUAUUGUCUCCAAC